UUGACAGCAACACAGGUUUACAUCUGUGAAAUUCGCUAAUGCACAAUUCCGCUCUGAUGCAUUGUAAGGCAUUUUAUGACAUCCGUGUAACUCUGUUAAAGAAUAUGCUUACAACUGGGAGGAAAGGACAACAGCCCAGGAGCAGAGCGGUGUGGGCUCUCAGGAAAUUUCCAUCUUCUCGCUUAGAGCUGUUAACCAUCAUGCUUGGUGUUUCCCUGACUCUAAGAUGCUGUUUCUGAGAAAAAUGUCGUCACGCCAUUGGCACUCGUUUCGCGGCUGGCGAAAGGCCGCUGAGCGCUCCCUGCCCUUCACCACAGAGAUGACUGCAGUCUCCAAGUCCAGGUACCGGUCAAGUGGCCACGGCAACGAACGUGGACACCAGGGGCGCACGGACAGAUCCGAGUACCGGGAUGUCCCUGGUCCCACCCAGAAGGUGCUGGGGGCAACCUCCCUGCCACCUGCCUGACGCUCCUAAGCUCAGAUUUGCCCCUUACUUGCCAACCUCUGGCCUCUUACGCGCAGUGUCUGCUUUUCCUGGGAUCAGCAUCUUUUCUCCGGGUCGCUGCUUAGAUUUUUCUUCCUUCCUGUGUGUCCUGGACACUGGCACAGGUUCAAGAAUGAUGGGAAAGGGUGACAUGGCCAUGGGGUUUGUGAGGCCCGAUCUGGCCUAUUUCGAAAUGUAAAUUUGGUUUUAAGUUAUAAAAGAGCUAUAAAAACCUUGCACUAAAUAAGGAAACCUAUCCCACUCCGGGGCCUAAUCCCAGUCUCGCUCUACCCGGCUCGGCUCCCUCAUUAUACUUGUUUAAUACAGUGUGGUUUCCAUUCAGCCUUCUCUUCCUGUUUUUACACUUAUUCUUGCUUCACUGACUUCAUUAUCAGCAGAAUUUUGCAACUUUUUUUUAACACAGCCAUAAAUACUAUUCAAUUCAACAAAUGCAUACAAAUGGUUUCCAUUAGAAUUUUAAUCUACUCUCAAAAUGAAAGAAAAGCUUAAUAUAAAUCUUUUUAAAUUACCAGAACAUAAAUGCAGACAGGGACAGCUCCACCUAGACUAUGCACAAGGGGUCACAUCCCACUGUCCUCGCUCAUAAAUUAAUUGAGGUCUUUCGCCACCAUCACCGAACAGUGCAUCCUGGAAAGAUCAUAUCUGUCAAGAUUUCAGAUUGGUUCCCUCAGACUUUGUAAAAGUCCCAGCGUACAAUACCUUCAUUAUGCCCAUGAGGAUGGCUGUCUCCCCAACUGGAAAGAAAUAGGUGUUUUUGUUCUGUUGGACCAAGAUUUACAGAAAGCAAUUUUCCUCCAUGCAGGAGAUAUGACAAACCUGCUGGAAAACAAUGUCAUUUCACAACAUCUUUCAUUUCACCACCUUCUUUACGGCUAGAUGUAGAUUCUGUCCCCUGUGCAAAGGGCUGCAGUGACAUUUAAUGGCUGAGUGAGGAAGUUACCGCUGAGGGGCGGGGCUGAGGGGCGCCUCCAGGAGGGGGUCUGCAAAUGUCUCAGCAACUGCAGCCGAGGGAGCGGAAACACGAGCCCCUGCAGCCCCGGGAGCGACUUGAACUUGAGAACUUACAUGAGUCCUGACAGCCUUUGGCCAACAGCUGAACUUGCCUGUUUCCCUCCCGUUGGCUGAGCCCAGGAGCACAGCACACCUGCUCCGUCCUUGAGCAAUGGCCACGUCACUCUCAGAGGACGACUGAAGGGCGGAGAGUGGGCUUAGGUUGUUGUGUUGUUGUUUUUCUUUUUUCCAUUUCCUCAUGUCAUAACCUAACGCUGUUCUAGCAGAGCUUCUGCAUAUUAAAUUGCCUUUUAGCAACUGGA